AGUGGGGACCCGGAUGGGCCGGGCCGGGCCGGACGCGAUUAAGGCUUUGGCGACCACCUCCUGCACACGAUCAGUUGGUUCACCUUCCAGGUCCACCUCAUCCAGAUUUUCCAGGCUGUUUUGCUUGCAGAGACCACUUGCCGAACUCCUCCCGACUGAGCAACGAUUUUCC